AGAGCUGCCUCCUCAGACCACUACCAUCAUCAUGGGCAUUGUUGUUGACCUGGUCCUGCUUGGAGCUCUGGCGGCUGGAGCUGUGAUGUAGGGAAGGAGGUGCUCAGGUGGAAAGGAGGGAGCUAUGCUCAGGCUGCCAGCAGUGACAGUGCCCAGGGCUUUGAUGUGUCUCCUCUCAGAGCUUGUAAAGGUGAGAUGCUGACACUGGGAGGGGUUGGGG